rnacentral:rRNA from 1 species
UACGGGGGGGGCAAGCGUUGUUCGGAAUUACUGGGCGUAAAGGGCUCGUAGGUUGCCAACUAAGUCAGACGUGAAAUCCCUCAGCUUAACUGGGGAACUGCGUCUGAUACUGGAUGGCUUGAGUUUGGGAGAGGGAUGCGGAAUUCCAGGUGUAGCGGUGAAAUGCGUAGAUAUCGGGAGGAACAUCAGUGGCGAAGGCGGCUGCCUGGCCCAAUACUGACACUCAGGUGCGACAGCGUGGGGAGCAAACAGG